rnacentral:lncRNA from 1 species
AGAAAAUAAGUCUCUGGAAUCCCUGAGAGGGUCGACCCAAAUGGAACUUGAGUCGACCCAACCUUGAGUCGACCCCAAUUGCUCAUGAGUCGACCCAAAGGCUAUAUCAUUCAAAAAUCAGUUCUCUGGAAUCUCUGAGAGGGUCGACCCAAGUGAAAUUUGAGCCGACCCAACUGAACCUUGAGUCGACCCAAAAAGUGUUGAGUUGAUCCAAGUGAAGGAAGGCUGAAAUACAAGGUUCUGUGUUUCCUGAGAGGGUCGACCCUAAUGUUGCAUGAGUCGACUUAAGUGAAAGUUGGGUCGACCCCAGUAAAAGUUGAGUCGACCCAAGCACGGGCAGAAGCAUAACGGCUAGUUCUGCAGAAGUACUUUUUGUCCUUCCAAUAGUAAGUAACGGCUAGUUUUUAAAAUCUGACCAAUGGGGGGUGUCUAAUGGGUGAGGAAAACUAUUUAAAGAGACACUAUUCAUCAGAGAAAAAGAUCCUUUUGCAAAAUAUCAAAGCUUACACAAGAAAGACAAGUGCCCUAAUCUUCUUCAUCCAAGUGCUUCAUUCAAAGAGUCAAAAGAAAGUGGUUGAGCAGAUUUCAAGAGAUAUUAAGAGCUCCAUCCACCCUUGAAGAGUAAAGCAUUUUUGACAAAGAAGAGAGAAGUUUCAUCUGUUAGAANN